GGUUGUAUGGUGUAGUGGUAGCACAUGGGAUUCUGACUCGCAGAGAACAUUCCCACGACCCCGGUUCGAUCCCGGGUACGACCU